rnacentral:rRNA from 1 species
CGGUUGAUCCUGCCGGAGGUUACUGCUAUCGGUGUUCGCCUAAGCCAUGCGAGUCAUAUGUAGCAAUACAUGGCGUACUGCUCAGUAACACGUGGAUAACCUGCCCUUGGGUCCGGCAUAACCCCGGGAAACUGGGGAUAAUUCCGGAUAACGCACAUAUGCUGGAAUGCUUUUUGCGUAAAAUGGAUUCGUCUGCCCAAGGAUGGGUCUGCGGCCUAUCAGGUAGUAGUGGGUGUAAUGUACCUACUAGCCUACGACGGGUACGGGUUGUGAGAGCAAGAGCCCGGAGAUGGAUUCUGAGACAUGAAUCCAGGCCCUACGGGGCGCAGCAGGCGCGAAAACUUUACAAUGCGGGAAACCGUGAUAAGGGGACACCGAGUGCUAGCAUCAUAUGCUGGCUGUCCAGGUGUGUAAAAUACACCUGUUAGCAAGGGCCGGGCAAGACCGGUGCCAGCCGCCGCGGUAACACCGGCGGCCCGAGUGGUGAUCGUGAUUAUUGGGUCUAAAGGGUCCGUAGCCUGUUUGGUCAGUCCUCCGGGAAAUCUGACAGCUUAACUGUUAGGCUUUCGGAGGAUACUGCCAGACUUGGAACCGGGAGAGGUAAGAGGUACUACAGGGGUAGGAGUGAAAUCUUGUAAUCCCUGUGGGACCACCUGUGGCGAAGGCGUCUUACCAGAACGGGUUCGACGGUGAGGGACGAAAGCUGGGGGCACGAACCGGAUUAGAUACCCGAGUAGUCCCAGCCGUAAACGAUGCUCGCUAGGUGUCAGGNAUGGCNCGACCGUGUCUGGUGCCGCAGGGAANCCGUGAAGCGAGCNACCUGGGAAG